GAUGAACGCUGGCGGCGUGCCUAAUACAUGCAAGUCGAGCGAACAGACGAGGAGGUUGCCCCCCUGACGUUAGCGGCGGACGGGUGAGUAACACGUGGAUAACCUAGCUAUAAGACUGGGAUAAAUUAGGGAAAACGGAGCUAAUACCGGAUAAUAUAUUGAACCGCAUGGUUCAAUAGUGAAAGACGGUUUUGCUGUCACUUAUAGAUGGAUCCGGGCCGCAGUAGGUAGUUGGUAAGGUAACGGGUUAACAAGGCAACGGCUCGUAGGCGAACUGAGAGGGUGAAUCGGCCAACCGGAACCGAAGCAACGGUCCAGCUUCUAAGGGGAGGAAGAAGUGGGGAAAUUGCCGAAAUGGGCGAAAGCUUGCGGGAGCAACGCGGCGGGAGUGAUGAAGGUCUUCGGAUCGUAAAACUUUGUUAUUGGGGAAGAACAAAUGUGUAAGUAACCAUGCACGUCUGGACGGUACCGAAGCAGAAAGCCACGGCAAACUCCGU
rnacentral:rRNA from 1 species